AACGAACGCUGGCGGCAUGCCUAACACAUGCAAGUCGAACGAGACCUUCGUGUCUAGUUGCGCACGGGUGCGUAACGCGUGGGAACCUGCCUUUAGGUUCGGAAUAAUUCAGUUUAAUUUGAGCUAAUAUCGGAUGAUUUCUUCUGACAAAAGAUUUAUCGCCUGUGGAUGGGCCCGCGUUGUUUACGCUUGUUGGGGGUGUAAAGGCCUACCAAGGCAUCGAUCCCUAGCUGGUAAGGGAGGAAGGUCAGCCACACUGGGAGUGAGCCACGGCCGAGAAUCCUACGGAAUGGAGGAGUGCGGAAUAUAGGCCAACGGGGUAAGGCAUGAUCCAGCAAUGGCGGGUGAGUCAUGAUGGCGUUAGGGAAAUAAAGCAGUUUUACCCGAGACGAUAAUGACGGUAUCGGAAGAAUAAGCACCGGCUAACUCCGUG
rnacentral:rRNA from 1 species